GCCCGUUUAGCUCAGUGGUAGAGCGCGCCACUCGUAUGCUGUGAUGGGUAUGCUGUGAUGGUGAGGUCGGUUGUUCAAUCCAGCCAAUGGGCA
rfam:Cylindrobasidium torrendii FP15055 ss-10 unplaced genomic scaffold CYLTOscaffold_11, whole genome shotgun sequence.